AUUGAACGCUGGCGGCAGGCUUAACACAUGCAAGUCGCGCGAGCGGCGGACGGGUGAGUAAUGUCUGGGAAACUGCCUGAUGGAGGGGGAUAACUCCUGGAAACGGUAGCUAAUACCGCAUACCAUCAGAUGUGCCCAGAUGGGAUUAGCUAGUAGGUGGGGUAAUGGCUCACCUAGGCGACGAUCCCUAGCUGGUCUGAGAGGAUGACCAGCCAAACUGGAACUGAGACACGGUCAAGACUCCUACGGGAGGCAGAAGUGGGGAAUAGUGCACAAUGGGCGCAAGCUUGAUGAAGCCAUGCGGCGUGUGUGAAGAAGGCCUUCGGGUUGGAAAGCACUUUCAGCGAGGAGGCGUUACUCGAAGAAGAAGAACCGGCUAACUCCGUGCCAGCAGCCGCGGUAAUAC
rnacentral:rRNA from 1 species